GACGAGCCACACGAACGUUAUUCGGAAUUACUGGGCUUAAAGGGUGCGUAGGCUGUGCGGAAAGUUGGGCGUGAAAUCCCCCGGCUCAACCGGGGAAUUGCGCCCAAAACUACCGUGCUGGAGAAAGACAGAGGUGAGCGGAACUUCGGGUGGAGCGGUGAAAUGCGUUGAUAUCCGAAGGAACACCGGUGGCGAAAGCGGCUCACUGGGUCUUUUCUGACGCUGAUGCACGAAAGCUAGGGGAGCAAACGGG
rnacentral:rRNA from 1 species